rnacentral:rRNA from 1 species
UACGGGGGGAGCAAGCGUUGUUCGGAUUUACUGGGCGUAAAGGGCGCGUAGGCGGCCACCGCAAGUCGACUGUGAAAUCUCCGGGCUUAACCCGGAAAGGUCAGCCGAUACUGCGGGGCUAGAGUGCAGAAGGGGGCAACUGGAAUUCUCGGUGUAGCGGUGAAAUGCGUAGAUAUCUGGAGGAACACCGGUGGCGAAGGCGACGCCUGGACCGGCAUUGACGCUGAGGCGCGAAAGCCAGGGGAGCAAACGGG